rnacentral:rRNA from 1 species
AUUGAACGCUGGCGGCAGGCCUAACACAUGCAAGUCGAGCGAGCGGCGGACGGGUGAGUAAUGGCUGGGAAUUGCCCAGGCGAGGGGGAUAACAGUUGGAAAAGACUGCUACUACCGCAUACGAUUGGAUUCCCAAGGUGGGAGUAGAUAGUUGGUGAGUUAAGGGCCCACGCAGGCGCCGAUACCUAGCUGUGCUGAGAGGAUGAUCAGCCAAACUUGAACGGAGACACGGUCCAGACUCCUACGUGAGGCGUCAGUGGGGAAUAUUGCGAUAUGGGGGAAAGCCUGAGGCAGCCAUGCCGCGUGUAUGAAGAAGGCCUUCGGUUUUUAAAGCACUGGCAGCGAGGAGGCGUUACCCGCAGAAGAAGCACCGGCUAACUCCGUGCCAGCAGCCGCGGUAAUUC